rnacentral:rRNA from 1 species
UCCCGGCACAAGCGGAGGAGCAUGUGGUUUAAUUCGAUGAUACGCGAGGAACCUUACCUGGGCUCGAACGUAAGAUGACUGUAGGUGAAAGCUUACAUCUCUUCGGAGCAUUUUACGAGGUGCUGCAUGGUUGUCGUCAGCUCGUGCCGUGAGGUGUCGGGUUAAGUCCCAUAACGAGCGCAACCCCUACCUUUAGUUGCCAUCAGGUUAAGCUGGGGACUCUAAAGGAACUGCCUACGCAAGUAGUGAGGAAGGCGGGGAUGACGUCAAAUCAGCGCGGCCCUUACGUCCAGGGCUACACACGUGCUACAAUGGCCGAUACAGAGGGCAGCUACCUGGUGACAGGAUGCAAAUCUCCAAAGUCGGUCUCAGUUCGGAUCGGAGUCUGCAACCCGACUCCGUGAAGUUGGAUUCGCUAGUAAUCGCGCAUCAGCCAUGGCGCGGUGAAUACGUUCCCGGGCCUU